AGAACGAACGCUGGCGGCAUGCCUAACACAUGCAAGUCGAACGGGCACCUUCGGGUGCUAGUGGCGCACGGGUGCGUAACGCGUGGGGAUCUGCCCUUAGGUACGGAAUAACUCAGGGAAACUUGAGCUAAUACCGUAUAAUGACUUCGGUCCAAAGAUUUAUCGCCUAGGGAUGAACCCGCGUAGGAUUAGCUUGUUGGUGAGGUAAAGGCUCACCAAGGCGACGAUCCUUAGCUGGUCUGAGAGGAUGAUCAGCCACACUGGGACUGAGACACGGCCCAGACUCCUACGGGAGGCAGCAGUGGGGAAUAUUGGACAAUGGGCGAAAGCCUGAUCCAGCAAUGCCGAGUGAGUGAUGAAGGCUUAGGUUGUAAAGCUCUUUUGCCGGGAUGAUAAUGACAGUACCGGAGAAUAAGCUCCGGCUAACUCCGCGCCAGCAGCCGC
rnacentral:rRNA from 1 species